UACGUAGGGUGCAAGCGUUGUCCGGAAUUAUUGGGCGUAAAGAGCUCGUAGGCGGUUCGUCGCGUCGGCUGUGAAAACCUGAGGCUCAACCUCAGGCCUGCAGUCGAUACGGGCGGACUUGAGUACUGCAGGGGAGACUGGAAUUCCUGGUGUAGCGGUGGAAUGCGCAGAUAUCAGGAGGAACACCGGUGGCGAAGGCGGGUCUCUGGGCAGUAACUGACGCUGGAGGAGCGAAAGCCGUGGGGAGCGAACAGG
rnacentral:rRNA from 1 species